rnacentral:lncRNA from 1 species
AGGGAUCUUGCCUUUUGUUUACAAAUUUGAAACUAGAUCAGUGAUCUUGGAGUUUUAGUAAAUUAAGUUUUUUUCUCACACCUCUAAGGAAAAGUAAGACCCAAAGCCCUGCUUGCAAAAAAAGGCCGGAGAGGGGAAAGUGAGGCUGUUGACCAGCUUAUUGCGCUUUGUUGCAAAAUUUUUCACAUAAUCACUAUUCCAUAUGGGGCCUGACAUUAUUGGGCUACAAUUUUUUACACGCCAUGAUUUCUUCGUGUUAUGCUUUUGCUUUUCAUGCUAAUUACCUCUUUUUGUUUGUUAAAAAAAUGAAGAGUUCGAGUUCUAUUUUCUUUGUACUUAGUGUGUUUUUCAUUCAAAUGUCCUUUUGUAUUUUCCUUGUGUUUGUCCCGGAAUCCUCGUAAACCUGGAUAUCAAAAAUCGUUGAAUCCUUAUAUAGAUGUAUUUCCAUGAUAUAUUUAUGUGUGACUCGAAAUAUGAAUUGUAUGUCUG